rnacentral:rRNA from 1 species
UACGUAGGUGGCAAGCGUUGUCCGGAAUUAUUGGGCGUAAAGCGCACGCAGGUGGCUGAGUCAGUCGAUUGUGAAAGCCCUGAGCUUAACCUGGGAAUUGCAGUCGAUACUACUCAGCUAGAGUAUGGGAGAGGGUAGUGGAAUUCCCGGUGUAGCGGUGAAAUGCGUAGAUAUCGGGAGGAACAUCAGUGGCGAAGGCGGCUACCUGGCCCAAUACUGACACUCAGGUGCGACAGCGUGGGGAGCAAACAGG